rnacentral:other from 1 species
GUUUCCAUCCUCUAAGAGGUCUUAUUUUAAU